rnacentral:rRNA from 1 species
GUGGGGAAUAUUGGACAAUGGGCGAAAGCCUGAUCCAGCAAUGCCGCGUGAGUGAAGAAGGCCUUCGGGUUGUAAAGCUCUUUUACCCGGGAAGAUAAUGACUGUACCGGGAGAAUAAGCCCCGGCUAACUCCGUGCCAGCAGCCGCGGUAAUACGGAGGGGGCUAGCGUUGUUCGGAAUUACUGGGCGUAAAGCGCACGUAGGCGGUCUUUUAAGUCAGAGGUGAAAGCCCGGGGCUCAACUCCGGAAUUGCCUUUGAAACUGGAAGACUUGAACACGGGAGAGGUGAGUGGAAUUCCGAGUGUAGAGGUGAAAUUCGUAGAUAUUCGGAGGAACACCAGUGGCGAAGGCGGCUCACUGGACCGUUGUUGACGCUGAGGUGCGAAAGCGUGGGGAGCAAACAGGAUUAGAUACCCUUGUAGUCC